UGCCAGCCGCCGCGGUAAUACGGGAGUGGCAAGCGUUAUCCGGAAUUACUGGGCGUAAAGCGCACGUAGGCGGAUUGGAAAGUAGGGGGUGAAAUCCCAGGGCUCAACCCUGGAACUGCCUCCUAAACUAUCAGUCUAGAGUUCGAGAGAGGUGAGUGGAAUUCCAAGUGUAGAGGUGAAAUUCGUAGAUAUUGGGAAGAACAUCUGUGGCGAAGGCGAUUUUCUGGGCCAAUUCUGACGCUGAGGUUCGAAAGCGUGGGUAGCAAACAGGAUUAGAUA
rnacentral:rRNA from 1 species